CCUACGGGUGGCAGCAGUCGAGAAUCAUUCACAAUGGGGGAAACCCUGAUGGUGCGACGCCGCGUGGGGGAAUGAAGGUCUUCGGAUUGUAAACCCCUGUCAUGUGGGAGCAAAUUAAAAAGAUAGUACCACAAGAGGAAGAGACGGCUAACUCUGUGCCAGCAGCCGCGGUAAUACAGAGGUCUCAAGCGUUGUUCGGAAUCACUGGGCGUAAAGGGUACGUAGGCUGUUUCGUAAGUCGUGUGUGAAAGGCGCGGGCUCAACCCGCGGACGGCACAUGAUACUGCGAGGCUAGAGUUAUGGAGGGGGAAGCGGAAUUCUCGGUGUAGCAGUGAAAUGCGUAGAGAUCGAGAGGAACACUCGUGGCGAAGGCGGGUUCCUGGACAUUAACUGACGCUGAGGCACGAAGGCCAGGGGAGCGAAAGGGAUUAGAUACCCCUGUAGUC
rnacentral:rRNA from 1 species